UGGGGAGUAUUGCGCAAUGGGCGAAAGCCUGACGCAGCCAUGCCGCGUGAGUGAAGAAGGCCUUCGGGUUGUAAAGCUCUUUCGGACGGAACGAAAUGGUCAGGGUGAAUAUCCCUGACUGAUGACGGUACUGUAAGAAGAAGCACCGGCUAACUACGUGCCAGCAGCCGCGGUAAUACGUAGGGUGCGAGCGUUAAUCGGAAUUACUGGGUUUAAAGGGUGCGUAGGCGGUCGUAUAAGUCGGAUGUGAAAGCCCUUGGCUCAACCAAGGAACUGCGUCCGAUACUGUACGGCUUGAGGCUGGUAGGGGGUAGCGGAAUUCCCGGUGUAGCGGUGGAAUGCGUAGAUAUCGGGAGGAACACCGAUGGCGAAAGCGGCUACCUGGGCCAGAUCUGACGCUGAGGCGCGAAAGCUAGGGGAGCAAACAGGAUUAGAUACCCUAGUAGUCCCUGAGCGGGCUGGCAAGGCGCAU
rnacentral:rRNA from 1 species